CCUACGGGAGGCAGCAGUGGGGAAUAUUGCACAAUGGGCGCAAGCCUGAUGCAGCCAUGCCGCGUGUGUGAAGAAGGCCUUCGGGUUGUAAAGCACUUUCAGCGGGGAGGAAGGCGGUGAGGUUAAUAACCUCAUCGAUUGACGUUACCCGCAGAAGAAGCACCGGCUAACUCCGUGCCAGCAGCCGCGGUAAUACGGAGGGUGCAAGCGUUAAUCGGAAUUACUGGGCGUAAAGCGCACGCAGGCGGUCUGUCAAGUCGGAUGUGAAAUCCCCGGGCUCAACCUGGGAACUGCAUUCGAAACUGGCAGGGUAGCGUCUUGUAGAGGGGGGUAGAAUUCCAGGUGUAGCGGUGAAAUGCGUAGAGACCUGGAGGAAUACCGGUGGCGAAGGCGGCCCCCUGGACAAAGACUGACGCUCAGGUGCGAAAGCGUGGGGAGCAAACAGGAUUAGAUACCCGAGUAGUC
rnacentral:rRNA from 1 species